CUUCCUGCCUGGCCUGCCAUGGACUUUCCCCUCUGCCAUGCUGUCCUGACUUGGAGCCAGCCGACUAUGGACUGAAACCUCUGCAAAGUGCAGGAACUCGCUGUGCAGUUGAGGCUGGCCUAGAGUUUGCAGUGAUCCUCCUGCCUCAGCCUCCUGAGUACUGGGAUCACAGGCAUGCUUCAUCAAGCCCAGCUUCCCCACCUUAUCUUGUAACACUCCUGCCAUCCCCAUCCCAGCAGACCUGUACACCUGUCACAACAGCCCCGGAUUCUCUCUUCCAUGAAAUAAGAAAGAGGGUCCUGUGGGACAGCGCAGGACAUGGAGGCAGAUGACCCACAUGGGAUCCGCAGUCUCUUCCUCACUGCUGAGUGAUCUUGGACAACUCUGCCUCUCUGGAUCCCAGCCUGACUUCAGUGAAAUGGUCCCAAAAUACACCACGGUGCCCACAGACUGGGCACAGGUUGGCAGUCAGAAAAUGUUUGCUGAGAGAAUAAAAUGAUUGCCCGCAUGA